AGGUGUUAAUCUGUUUGAUUGGCCAGUUAAUGAUUCAGUUCAGUUAACUGGUUUCCAGGUGGGAACGAGAGUAGAAAGACGGAGCGAGUAAGAAAGUCACGGCUAAAACUCGGUCCAGUAAGCUGUAAUGUUUUAAGUUAGCGUGGUUUAGCUAGGUAGUACCUGCCUGCACGAUUUAGUGUAAUUGUUUGCUGGAGACUUGAAACUCGGUUGGGCCGCUUUUCCGUCGGGAAUUCUACCUAAGUGAAGCUAAAGCUAGUUAGCUCCUCGUGCUAGCAGCAUGAGAGACUUGUGCUUCGGAAACACUUCCCUGCACCAAGCUGCUGAGAACUUACUGGACGCUUAUGAACGUGGACGGAGCCUGAGUUCUUUUCGUGUUCUUCACCACAGUGACGAGACAAAGCUGAAAGGAGCCACACUUUAACAUCACUCUGCACCCCAGGAACUCAUCUGUCUGCUGGAAUGCCAGCCAGUGACUGUGAGGAGACAGAUAGCUGCUGGUUUUCACUAGAGAUGGGGAGAAAAACGGCGGGAGAGGAUAGCUUCGUCCAAUCUGCCUUGCCCUUAAGACCCCACCGGUCCCUGCUGAUGAAUUUGGCCAUUAUCAAAGUGGGCCCCGGGGUGUGCUGCGGGGAUCACUGGCUGACAGAGACACCCCAACUCUGGGACUUGUGAUGUUCUCUCUCAGUCCAUAUCAGCCUCACACAGUCUGCAGCAUGAACCCAGCUCUUCCUCCAUCCUUUGGAUUACUUCCAAUAAACAGCAUUUCUAGUCGGAGCGCAGCAAGAAGAAGAAAGUACACACAAAUGCAGUCUGGGUAUUUUUUCCACGCUUGCAUGAAAUUUGAGAAUUAAAAUUUGUGUCUCGUGACCCUUUCAGCGUCAGAUGGGCGUCAGGGGUCAGUGUUUUCACUCUGGGGGAAAAAGUAAACCAACCAGAGCUGUAAUAUUCGCUCAGGGCAGUGGUUUCAAAGUGUCACAAAUUCUACCCAUCUGGUUUAGCCUUAGCAGCUAUUGCUAUAGCUAAGAAUUCCGAGGGCUGAUAGAAAGCACGCUAUUAGCAACCAUUUAAAAAGAUGUCUCCAGAUGUUUACUGUGUAUAUUAGACAUUUUCUCUCAGUCAAUAACAAUAAAAGUUGUAGUUUGCAAGUGUGUGUCUUGGACGUGG